GUGAGUGGAUGAAAGCUCCGGCGGCAUAGGAUGGGCCUGCGGCGUAUCAGGUUGUAGGGGGUGUAACGUACCCUCUAGCCCUCUACGCGUACGGGUGUUGGGAGACAUAGCCCGGAGAUGGAUUCUGAGACACGAAUCCAGACCCUACGGGGUGCAGCAGGCGCGAAAACUUGGCAAUGCGAGAAAUCGUGACCAGGGAACUCCAAGUGCAUCGGGUAAGACCGGUGCUUUUCUUGACUCUAAAUAGGUCUUGGAAUAAGGGGUGGGUAAGGACGGUGCCAGCCGCCGCGGUAAUACCGGCGCCUCAAGUGGUAGUCGCUUUUAUUGGGCCUAAAACGUCCGUAGCCGGUCUGAUACAUUCGUGGGUAAAUCAACCAGCUUAACUGGUUGAAUUCUGCGAGGACGGUCAGACUUGGGACCGGGAGAGGUGUGGGGUACGCUCAGGGUAGGGGUAAAAUCCUGUCAUCCUGAGCGGACCACCUGUUGCGAAGGCGCCACACUAGAACGGAUCCGACGGUCAGGGACGAAGCCUAGGGGCACGAACCGGAUUAGAUACCCGGGUAGUCCUAGGUGUAAACGCUGUGGACUUGAUGUUGGGGGUGCUCCGAGCACUCUCAGUGUCGAAGCGAAGGUGAUAAGUCCACUGCCUGGGAAGUACGGUCGCAAGGCUGAAACUUAAAGGAAUUGGCGGGGGAGCACCGCAACCUGAGGAUUGUGCGGUUUAAUUGGACUCAACGCCGGGA
rnacentral:rRNA from 1 species